rnacentral:rRNA from 1 species
GACAGAGGGGGCAAGCGUUGCUCGGAAUCACUGGGCGUAAAGGGCGCGUAGGCGGGAUGGCAAGUCGGUCGUGAAAUCUCUCGGCUCAACCGAGAAACGUCGGCCGAUACUGCCGUUCUUGAGGGAUGCAGAGGAGACUGGAAUUCCCGGUGUAGCGGUGAAAUGUGUAGAGAUCGGGAGGAACACCGGUGGCGAAGGCGGGUCUCUGGGCAUUUCCUGACGCUGAGGCGCGAAAGCGUGGGGAGCAAAGCGGG